rnacentral:rRNA from 1 species
GACGAACGCUGGCGGCGUGCUUAACACAUGCAAGUCGAACGGAAAGGCCCUGCUUUUGUGGGGUGCUCGAGUGGCGAACGGGUGAGUAACACGUGAGUAACCUGCCCUUGACUUUGGGAUAACUUCAGGAAACUGGGGCUAAUACCGGAUAGGAGCUCCUGCUGCAUGGUGGGGGUUGGAAAGUUUCGGCGGUUGGGGAUGGACUCGCGGCUUAUCAGCUUGUUGGUGGGGUAGUGGCUUACCAAGGCUUUGACGGGUAGCCGGCCUGAGAGGGUGACCGGCCACAUUGGGACUGAGAUACGGCCCAGACUCCUACGGGAGGCAGCAGUGGGGAAUAUUGCACAGUGGGCGGAAGCCUGAUGCAGCAACGCCGCGUGCGGGAUGACGGCCUUCGGGUUGUAAACCGCUUUCGCCUGUGACGAAGCGUGAGUGACGGUAAUGGGUAAAGAAGCACCGGCUAACUACGUGCCAGCAGCCGCGGUGAUACGUAGGGUGCGAGCGUUGUCCGGAUUUAUUGGUCGUAAAGGGCUCGUAGGUGGUUGAUCGCGUCGGAAGUGUAAUCUUGGGGCUUAACCCUGAGCGUGCUUUCGAUACGGGUUGACUUGAGGAAGGUAGGGGAGAAUGGAAUUCCUGGUGGAGCGGUGGAAUGCGCAGAUAUCAGGAGGAACACCAGUGGCGAAGGCGGUUCUCUGGGCCUUUCCUGACGCUGAGGAGCGAAAGCGUGGGGAGCGAACAGGCUUAGAUACCCUGGUAGUCCACGCUGUAAACGGUGGGUACUAGGUGUGGGGUCCAUUCCACGGGUUCCGUGCCGUAGCUAACGCUUUAAGUACCCCGCCUGGGGAGUACGGCCGCAAGGCUAAAACUCAAAGGAAUUGACGGGGCCCCGCACAAGCGGCGGAGCAUGCGGAUUAAUUCGAUGCAACGCGUAGAACCUUACCUGGGUUUGACAUGGAUCGGGAGUGCUCAGAGAUGGGUGUGCCUCUUUUGGGGUCGGUUCACAGGUGGUGCAUGCCUGUCGUCAGCUCGUGUCGUGAGAUGUUGGGUUAAGUCCCGCAACGAGCGCAACCCUUGUUCACUGUUGCCAGCACGUUAUGGUGGGGACUCAGUGGAGACCGCCGGGGUCAACUCGGAGGAAGGUGGGGAUGACGUCAAGUCAUCAUGCCCCUUAUGUCCAGGGCUUCACGCAUGCUACAAUGGCUGGUACAGAGAGUGGCGAGCCUGUGAGGGUGAGCGAAUCUCGGAAAGCCGGUCUCAGUUCGGAUUGGGGUCUGCAACUCGACCUCAUGAAGUCGGAGUCGCUAGUAAUCGCAGAUCAGCAACGCUGCGGUGAAUACGUUCCCGGGGCU